rnacentral:lncRNA from 1 species
CUCUCCAUUUAAAUCUAGAUAUUAAAUUAGCACACCCUAGCAACUGGACGUUUUUCAACAUUCUUCGAUCAGAUUGAUUUAGGCUCAGAACAACUGUGCUACUUGAUUGCAAUCUAAUUUCUUAAAUUGACAUAAUCUCCUACAUUCAACUCUUUAUAACGUCUGUGCAAAUCAGUAAGGGAUUUAUAUUUUAAGUUAUUAGAGUN